CGGAGGGUGCAAGCGUUAUCCGGAAUUACCGGGCGUAAAGGGCGUGUAGGUGGGUAAUUAAGUCAUGGGUGAAAACUGCGAGCUCAACUUGCAGACUGCCUAUGAAACUGGAUAUCUUGAGGGCAGGAGAGGAAAGUGGGAUUCCUAGUGUAGCGGUGAAAUGCGUAGAUAUUAGGAGGAACACCAGUGGCGAAGGCGACUUUCUGGACUGUCCCUGACACUGAGGCGCGAAAGCUAGGGGAGCGAACGGGAUUAGAUACCCCGGUAGUCCUAGCCGUAAACGAUGGGUACUAGGUGUGGGAGGUAUCGACCCCUUCCGUGCCGGAGUUAACACAUUAAGUACCCCGCCUGGGGAGUACGGCCGCAAGGUUG
rnacentral:rRNA from 1 species